GUGGGGAAUUUUGGACAAUGGGCGCAAGCCUGAUCCAGCAAUGCCGCGUGCAGGAAGAAGGCCUUCGGGUUGUAAACUGCUUUUGUACGGAACGAAACGGUCCGGGUUAAUACCCUGGGCUAAUGACGGUACCGUAAGAAUAAGCACCGGCUAACUACGUGCGAGCAGCCGCGGUAAUACGUAGGGUGCAAGCGUUAAUCGGAAUUACUGGGCGUAAAGCGUGCGCAGGCGGUUUUGUAAGACAGGCGUGAAAUCCCCGGGCUCAACCUGGGAAUUGCGCUUGUGACUGCAAGGCUGGAGUGCGGCAGAGGGGGAUGGAAUUCCGCGUGUAGCAGUGAAAUGCGUAGAUAUGCGGAGGAACACCGAUGGCGAAGGCAAUCCCCUGGGCCUGCACUGACGCUCAUGCACGAAAGCGUGGGGAGCAAAAAGGAUUAGAUACCCGGGUAGUCC
rnacentral:rRNA from 1 species